rnacentral:rRNA from 1 species
AGAAGGUCCCAAGGGUUAGUCUGUUCGCCUAUUAAAGCGGUACGCGAGCUGGGUUCAGACCGUCGUGAGACAGGUCGGCCUCUAUCCGCCGUCAGCGUUAGAUAAUUGAGAGAAUUUGCUCCUAGUACGAGAGGACCGGAGUGAGUGAAUCCCUAGUGUUCCAGUUGUUACUGUCAAGUGCAUUGCUGGGUAGCUACAUUCAUUGUGGAUAACCGCUGAAAGCAUCUAAGCGGGAAGCCAAUCUCAAGAUGAAUUAUCUCCAUUAAACACGUGGGAGAACACCACGUUGAUAGGCAGUCGGUGUAAGUCUGGUGACAGAUUAAGCCUAACUGUACUAAUCGUUGACUG